rnacentral:lncRNA from 1 species
UUUUUAAAUAAAAAUGUUUAUUUAUUUAAAAGAGUUAGAGAGAGAGAGGGAGAGAUCUUCCAUAAGCAGGUUCUCUCCCCAGGUGGCCAUAGUGGCCAGUGCUGGGCCAGGCCAAGCCAGGGGCCAGGAGUUUCAUCUGAAGUUCUCCCUCGUGAGUGGCAUGGGCCUAAGCACCUGGGCCAUCGCCAUGGCUUUUCCCAGGCCACUGCAAGGAGCUGGAUCAGAAACUGAGCAACUGGGACACCAACCGGUGCCCAUAUGGGAUGCUGGUGUUGCAGGCAGCGGCUUUAACCACUAUGCCACAAUGCCGGCCCCAUGAAUAUCUCCUGUGGGAUGUGAUUGAGCAUAGGACGUCCUGCAUUUAUAAAUUAACUCGGACUGGAAGUAAGUCGGGGAAAGCGGUAUGCUAGAGGUGGGCAAACUCGGGCCUGCUAAGCCACCGACCUGGCCUGGAUGGGCGGCCCAAGACAGAGCACGGGGAGCUGACCAAUGAGAAAGACACUGCACACCCUGGCGCGCACUGCAAUCUCGCGUUGUUUGGGGAGGUCCUUCCACCCCCCUGACCCCCCGUGGUAACGCAUGCGCUGAGACCUCGCUGUUCUGGGCGCAUGCCCCCAGCAGGCCCUUUUCCGGCAGCGAUUGUGAGCAAGUUGGUCGCGUCCGCUCCUCCGGGUCUGUCCAGACUUGCAACAUGAGCUGCUACAGUAAGGCGUCUGGUUUUAGCGACGGUAAUGGCUCCAGUAGUGAGGAGCAGGCCAGCCCUGGUAGCCCCGGAGCCCUGCAGGCUACUGGAAUAGGCUUGGACCAGGGUGAGGGCGAGGGCGGAGGUGCGAGCUGGGAGGAGGGCGGGCCCUCAAGCCCGCAGGUUCUCAACCCGCAGCUGGAGUUCAAGUCUGGGUGCCAGUCUGAGUCCAAACUGGGAAUGACACAGGCGGAAGCCGCAGCUCUCUGGGGCUGCAAGACUAAGCCACGGAAGCCCACCCCCGUGGGAGAGUGCUCUGCAAGUUCCGCAUUCCAGUUUGCUGCGGCGUAUGCAGCUGUUGUGCAAAUGCUGACCGACCCCAGUGCCGGGGCCUUGCACAGAUUCCUGAGUACAGGAAGUGGCGCCGCCGAAGAAGCGGCCGCCGUUUGUGCGCAUGUCGAGGUAGACCCCAGCAGCCGAGGCAUGCUGGGCCGGAGCAGUCUGGGAUCACUGCAGGCUUGUGCCACCGCCUCUCGUGCUCUUGGGGAAUUCCGGGUCCGGGGCCGCAGCAAGAGAAGAAGCGCCAGACGUCGCUUGAACAUUGGCACCGAUAGCCAUUGCUGCUUCGGAGAAGGCAUGGUGGGGCUGCCUCCUGACCCUGAGCCCUGCGAUGAGCUCUGGAAUGUGCAGCCCAUGAGGGUUCCAGCACAGAGAUCAGGGAUGCCUUGCUGUUGCAUGCAUCAUGGAGAAUUCAAAAGUCUAUACUUCAAUACCGAAAACUCACAAGUUCCAGAAAAUUCACAGCCUUUGAGUCUGAGCCAGGGAGGUGUCACACCUAGAGGCGCUGCACACUGGGGUGAGUCCAGUGGGUUUGAUUUGAGUGGAGGGGAGAGGGGUCAAGGAGGGAAACCUCUGGAUAUUGUCACUUUUGGGGACUCAGCUUCGCUCCCAGGAUUCCCUGCCUGCCCAGGCAGCUUGCUCACAGGAAAUGGGGUGUCAGCAGGUCUGGCCUUAGGUGACAUCAUCCUGUGAGUGUUGGCUCAUGAGGUGGCGGUUGUUUGUGGCAGUGCCCCAAGCUCCAAAAACAAAGGCAGGUGAUCAGUGGAACUGAGCUUUUGCUGUUAAGUCCUGCACAGCCAGGUGGCUCCUCCCUGCAGCUCUCUUAUCGUGCGACACAGAUUCCAGUCCCUGGCGCCACAGUCAGUGAGGGGUCAGGAAGGCAGGCUCAGAGAGAGGGUUGGAGCCCCUGGGCAGAACAGGGGUAACUUAGGGCCAGCAGAGGAUGAGACCUCCUCUUGUGGGACCCCAGCAGGCUCUUUCCACCUCAUUCCCAGGCUGGGCAGCUGGAUUUUGUGUUCUUUUUGUGUUUCAGGUGCCCCGGAACCACCUGUUCAUCCUCAGACACCAGAUAUGAAGAAAUUGCCACCUGGAAUGCAAAGGUGUCUUCAGGUAAUACCGCCUCUGGCUCGCAGUUACAUGGGCCCAAAGUAGCUGGUGGGAUCCAUGUGCAGGUCAGACUGACCCCAUGUCCCCUGCUCAUCAUUUUACACCUGAUGCAGACAGGAUACCUCCUUUGCAAUUAGCAUGCCAAGCCAAUGUGGCCACUGGGCUGUGGGAGGGUCCAGGUGUAAGGGCCAGGGAUGUGGAUGGGGCGGGGGGAAGUCCAUAAUACACUCAUCGUUUCUCUCUGUUGGGCUGCUAUAUUUUGCUGCAGAAGGAAGUAGACGACCUUAGAGAGCAACCAGGUAUGGUACAUGCUGGGCUGGGCUGGGCUGGGACUGGGGCUGAGGCAGAAGAAGGAAUCUUCAUGCUGGUGGCAGGGCGUGGGGUGAGGGUGGGUUGCAGGUGUGGGCGGCAUCAGUGGGACCCUCAUUCCUGUGAGGAGGAGAACCAACAAAACCUGGCCCGGGAGCAUUGUGUGCAUUCACAGUUGGGGUGUGCACAAGGGGAAAUGCGUCGUCUAAGCUGCAUGUGCGCUUUGCUAAAGAGUCCCAGAGAUCUCCUUCAUUUAGAGCUACCUGCAUGUGUUUUCGCUGGAAGUGCUGCUUGCUGUGGCUUGUGUGGUUUCUCUUGUCCGAUUUAUUUGCCUUUUGACAUGUUCUGAAUGGUUCUCAUUGACCCAACGUUUGAGAAUGACUGGUCCACUUUGUUCCUGUUUAGAAGACAUUUCCACAUGUAACUCAGGUGAUGGGUGGGUGGUGUGUCCCAGGGCUGUUUGGAGGGGGCUGCAGGGGUUGCAGGGGGCAGGGCUAGGUGAUCCCUUCCCCCCUCCCUGGGGGACACAGGUCCAGAUGUCUAUAGGCCUAUUUCUGGAGUGCCUUGUUGUGUCUUUGUUUCAGCGGAGUUGGAAUCCCUCACUGAGAAGUUCCAGAGGCUGUGAAGUGAGUGUUACACACAGCAUGCCCCUUGCCACAAUCCUGGCAGUUCAGGAGGGAUGCAGGCUGGCCCUGGCUUGAACGUGACCUUGCUCUGACUCUGCCCUCUUUCACAGGUUGAACUCAGCAUCUUCUAUUAGACAAGUAGCUACUACCUGUGGAGCCCAGGAGCUAUGGCCCAGGCGUUUCCCUCCAGUUCCUCUUCAGCCAGAGCCUCCUGUCUGCCCAAACACUUGUCUCCUUCCCUACCCCAGUUCACAGCAGUUUCAAGUUAGAGUAGCUUUCAUGUUCCGUGCUCUGCUGUCUCUGGGCGAGGGCGGUUGAAGAACUGCUCCGUGUCAGAGCAUGUUAGGAACAGUUCCUCUGUUUAGGUUGUGCUACAAUAAACACAUGUUUGAAUGGCA